CCCUUAGAUGUUCUGGGCCGCACGCAUGCUACACUGAGUGGAUCAGCGGGUCAGGUUGCGCGAAAGCGUUUCCUAAUCUUUAAAUCCGCUCGUGAUGGGGAUUGACGGUUGCAAUUUUCUGUCAUGAACGAGGAAUACCUUGUAAGCGCGGGUCAUCAUCCCGCGCUGAAUACGUCCCUGCCCUUUGUACACACCGCCCGUCGCUCCUACCGAUUGAGUGGUCCGGUGAGGCUUUGGGAUCUGAGCGGAAAGAGCGUUUCGCUGUUUCUGCUCGGAAAACUCAGUCGAACCUUAUCAUUUAGAGGAAGGAGAAGUCGUAACA
rnacentral:rRNA from 1 species